GGUCCGAUCUUUACUCCUCCUGAGACGAAGAGGAGGAAAUCCGUUACAAACACACAAGUCAUGAUUUCUGCCGCACUCAAAACAACUUAACUCUGGGAAAUCUGACAUCAGUGAGUUCAAGACAACUGGGAACUCAGGAAAAAACGAGCUCCAACUGGGAAAAUACGUUUUGAAUGGUUAUCCAACAACGGAAUUAGUUCCCAGUUGUAUUGAAAGCACCAUAAAUCCAGAAAAUGCCAGACUUUGAUGGC